rnacentral:rRNA from 1 species
GUGAACGCUGGCGGUAGGCCUAACCCAUGCACGUCGAACGGCAGCACAGUAAGAGCUUGCUCUUACGGGUGGCGAGUGGCGGACGGGUGAGGAAUACAUCGGAAUCUACUUUUUCGUGGGGGAUAACGUAGGGAAACUUACGCUAAUACCGCAUACGACCUACGGGUGAAAGCAGGGGAUCUUCGGACCUUGCGCGAUUGAAUGAGCCGAUGUCGGAUUAGCUAGUUGGCGGGGUAAAGGCCCACCAAGGCGACGAUCCGUAGCUGGUCUGAGAGGAUGAUCAGCCACACUGGAACUGAGACACGGUCCAGACUCCUACGGGAGGCAGCAGUGGGGAAUAUUGGACAAUGGGCGCAAGCCUGAUCCAGCCAUACCGCGUGGGUGAAGAAGGCCUUCGGGUUGUAAAGCCCUUUUGUUGGGAAAGAAAUCCAGCCGGCUAAUACCUGGUUGGGAUGACGGUACCCAAAGAAUAAGCACCGGCUAACUUCGUG